rnacentral:rRNA from 1 species
UACAGGGGGUGCAAACGUUGUUCGGAAUCAUUGGGCGUAAAGCGCACGUAGGCGGUUCGUUAUGUCGGAUGUGAAAGCCCUUGGCUUAACCGAGGAAGUGCAUCCGAAACUGGCGAGCUAGAGUACGAAAGAGGAUCGCGGAAUUCCCGGUGUAGAGGUGAAAUUCGUAGAUAUCGGGAGGAACACCGGUGGCGAAGGCGGCGAUCUGGGUCGAUACUGACGCUGAGGUGCGAAAGCGUGGGGAGCAAACAGG